rnacentral:lncRNA from 1 species
AAAAUUUAAGUUUGAAAGGCACAAAGGCCUGAAAAUGAUUUGAAUGAGUUAGUUCUUUUUUUGGAUUUUUGAAAGUUUAAGUCGUGUAUAGUUAAGUUUAUUUACAAGUUUGAUUUAAGAAAAAGAGGUUUGAAAAUGCAAUGACAUAAGGCCAAAGUUUCUAUCUUUUUGAAAGUGGUCAAAGUUUAAAACAAAAGUAGUUCACACAAAGAAGUUUUUUUUUAAAUAGAGGGAGAGAUUUUGAAAUUAAAGAAAUGGGGAGAAGAUGAAAA